rnacentral:rRNA from 1 species
GAUGAACGCUGGCGGUAUGCUUAACACAUGCAAGUCGAACGAACCUUCGGGUUAGUGGCGAACGGGUGAGUAAUACAUUGGGAUCUGCCCAAGAGUAGGACAUAGCCUGCCGAAAGGUGGGGUAAUUUCCUAUAGUAUCAGCAAUGAUUAAAGCAGCAAUGCGCUCUUGGAGGAACCUUUGUUCUAUCAGCUUGUUGGUGAGGUAAUGGCUCACCAAGGCGACGACGGAUAGCUGGCGUGAGAGCGCGACCAGCCACACUGGAACUGAGACAAGGUCCAGACUCCUACGGGAGGCAGCAGUGAGGAAUUUUCCGCAAUGGGCGAAAGCCUGACGCAGCCAUGCCGCGUGAAUGAUGAAGGUCUUAGGAUUGUAAAAUUCUUUCACCGGGGACGAUAAUGACGGUACCCGGAGAAGAAGCCCCGGCUAACUUCGUGCCAGCCGCCGCCGUAA